CUUGACUGUAGCUUGGAAUUGGGUUCGGGCUCUACUUGCGCAGUAUAGGUGGGAGGCGUUGAGUUUAUUCUUGCGGGAAUUUAGGAGCCAUCAGUGAGAUACCACUCUGGUAAUGUUAGAUUUCUAACUUUGUAUCAUAAUCUGGUCAAAGGACAGUUUCAGGCGGGCAGUUUGACUGGGGCGGUCGCCUCCUAAAUGGUAACGGAGGCGUACAAAGGUUUCCUCUGAACGUGUAGAAAUCGUAUCUAGAGUAUAAAGGCAUAAGGAAGCUUGACUGUGAGACUUACAAGUCGAGCAGGGACGAAAGUCGGUCUUAGUGAUCUGACGGUGCUGAGUGGAAAGGCCGUCACUCAACGGAUAAAAGUUA
rnacentral:rRNA from 1 species